UGCAGAUGCAGUUGCAA
rnacentral:misc_RNA from 1 species